rnacentral:SRP_RNA from 1 species
UUUUGGGGGCUAGGGCGUUUGCUUCAUGAAACCGGUCAGGGAAGAAAUUCAGCAGCCGAACUAAAAGUGGAACGGGUCUAGUCUCCUCAUUUUAU